CCUACGGGUGGCAGCAGUGGGGAAUAUUGCGCAAUGGGCGAAAGCCUGACGCAGCGACGCCGCGUGAGGGAUGAAGGUCUUCGGAUCGUAAACCUCUGUCAGCAGGGAAGAACGGUCACUGUGCUAAUCAGCAGUGAAUUGACGGUACCUGCAAAGCAAGCACCGGCUAACUACGUGCCAGCAGCCGCGGUAAUACGGAGGGUGCGAGCGUUAAUCGGAGUUACUGGGCGUAAGGCGCUCGUAGGCGGUAUGUCAAGUCAGGGGUGAAAUCCCCGCGCUCAACGUGGGAACUGCCUUUGAAACUGGCAAACGUGAGUGUGUGAGAGGCUAGUGGAAUUCCAGGUGUAGGAGUGAAAUCCGUAGAUAUCUGGAGGAACAUCAGUGGCGAAGGCGACUAUCUGGCACAUAACUGACGCUGAGGAGCGAAAGCGUGGGUAGCAAACAGGAUUAGAUACCCUUGUAGUC
rnacentral:rRNA from 1 species